GCUUAUACUCGACCGUCAGCGGCACGUGCGAUCGCGCGUUUCGGCGUGCGGUCACGAAGCCCUGACGAGUAGGAGGGUCGCGGCGGUGAGCGCAGAAGGGCUGGCCGCGAGGCCGUCUGGAGCCGCCGUCGGUGCAGAUCUUGGUGGUAGUAGCAAAUACUCCAGCGAGGCCCUGGAGGACUGACGUGGAGAAGGGUUUCGUGUGAACAGCCGUUGCACACGAGUCAGUCGAUCCUAAGCCCUAGGCGAAAGCCGAUGUCGAUGCGGUGUGGAUUUAUAUAUCUUUUUUUUUACGACGGCGACGACGACGACCGCGUCGACGACGACGACGACGACGAAGAACGAGAUAAUAGUUAAUUCGUUUCUUCGACGUACGACGUACGACGACGGCGUCGACGACGACGACGACGUAUACACGAGAAGUUUCGAUCGAACACACCCAUCGGGCGAAAGGGAAUCCGGUUCCUAUUCCGGAACCUGGCAGCGGAACCGUCAAAAAGUCGGGC
rnacentral:rRNA from 1 species